rnacentral:SRP_RNA from 1 species
UCGUGCUAGACGGGGAGAUAGCGGUGCCCUGUACCCGCAAUCCGCUAUAGCGGGGUCGAAUUCCCGUCUAGAGGUCCUCGCACCUCAUCGCUCGACCGGAGCAAAGCAGUGCUGAAGACCGGAUUCUGCGCAACCAAGAGCUUCUGAACUCCGUCAGGACCGGAAGGUAGCAGCGGUAGGAAUGUCUCUUGGUGUGCCGCAGAGCCGUCCGGUUGGAGCUGGCUGGCUUCGGAUGGGUUUAAGGGCGGGAUCGAAGACGGGUGCACGG